rnacentral:lncRNA from 1 species
UCAAGGUUAUUUAAUAUUGUACUGCUACGUUGAAUAUAUAAACCGGGAUGAAAAAGAGUUAAAAUAAAAAAACAAAUUAAACGUUUUUUAUGGUUUUUUUGUGUUAAAAACUAAUUAAAUUAAAUAAAUAAAAAAAUUAAAAAAAGAAAAAAACAAGAAAAUGGAAACGGAGAACACAGAAGCAGCUUCAUCGUCCUCGUCCUCCCCAUCUGCUUCACACAAAGAACCUCAAUGAAAUCUCUC